GAAAGAAACUCACACAGGUUUAAAACAAAAUGAGGGGCAACGAGUCAACAAGUUAGAACACCAAGAUGUAGUUUAUGGGAUCAACUGUCUGUCUUACACUUUCGCACUGGCCACACGGUCCUGGAAGCCAUGAACCCACAGGCUGGGAAUGUCAUCAUCCACGAUUUCCAUCUUUCUGCCGGCAAAGCUGCUGUUCUCAAACAGAUAUAGCUUGUGGUCGGCGCUGUCCUGGGGUCUGAUGGACAGGAGACAGAAGCUCCUCUGGCUGUUGGUCCAGGUGGUCCAGCGAGGAUAUUCUCCUUUCUCCAAAACGAACUGCUCUCC